rnacentral:rRNA from 2 species
UACGUAGGGGGCGAGCGUUAUCCGAAGUUACUGGGCGUAAAGCGCGCGUAGGCGGGCUAUUAAGUCGGAUGUGAAAUCUCCACGGCUCAACCGGGAAACAGCAUCCGAAACUGGUAGCCUUGAGGUAUGGAGAGGGAAGUGGAAUUCCAGGUGUAGCGGUGAAAUGCGUAGAUAUCUGGAGGAACACCCGUGGCGAAGGCGGCUUCCUGGCCAUAUCCUGACGCUGAGGUGCGAAAGCCAGGGGAGCGAACGGG